rnacentral:lncRNA from 1 species
AUUCAUAAAAAAUCCCUCCAAAACGUUUUCCAAGAACACACAGGAGGGCUAUGGGUAGAGGAAGGUGUCUGUCCAUCUAUCCCUGGCCCCCAGCCCAUGUGGUUUUGGCAGCAAUAGGGGUGUGGGGUAAUGUCCCCCAAAAUUAAAAUGGUAUAUGUGUGUAUGAGAAGGAAAGGGGGGCAAAGCUGUGGGGAACGGUUGAGGGGAAGGAACAAAGGAUGUUCACGAAGGUUUUUCCCUGGGACGGCGGCCCAGAUGGAGGGUGAGUCCUUGUUGCUCACGAUGGCCGCGAACCUAACAGGUCCCAUCCGCCACGAGGCUGUAGAUAGAGGCGUCCACCUGGCCGUUGCGCGGCUG